UCCACUGAGCCAAAAGUCAAACCAGGUUUAACAAACAAGAAAAACUCAAGCUCCUGCAAGAGUAUAUGGCACCUCCAUGGCAACUAAUAGAACCACAAGGACCCCACAGUCACAUCUUCCAAGCUAUGAGAAACACCUAACGCCAAAGCACUGUAAGGGCACCGAAUGGAUAACACUGCAGCUAACUUGUCAACUUCUGCGUCUUGUCCAAUCACAUGCAUUGACAAACUUUCAAUUCAGUCAGCCAGGAAGAAGGUCUGUCACAUAGCUUAAAAGGGUAAUUAUUACCGAAGCUGCAGCAAUUUUUUGUAUAGGAUCCUAGUGGUACUACUAGUUGAAGAGAGGGAAGGCUAUUGCAAAACUACAAAGACAUUUUUCAAAACUAUUCCACAGGUCACAUCCCUCUGUCUGUGGGAGCAGGUAUGAUAAUUACUGACCCAGCAACACAAAAACCCAUCUGUACAUGAUUAAACACAGCCACAAACCAAGACGGUUGGUACUUCAGGACUGGAGAACCCCUGUACUAAAGUAUUUCACAAUGUCUGGUGAGAAAUCCACAUCAAGCUCUUCAUCCCUCCAAACACCUUGUUCCUAACCUCUCCUUUACAGUAGUUUUAGGAGAUGUAUCAAGUCUUCUAAAGAGUGGAGAAGGCGGCAAGUGGAGAAGCUGCCCAUAGCAACCAAUCAGCAUCUACAAAUAAUUUUAUAGUGUGUACAUGAUAAAUUAUAGCUAGAUAGAGGCUGAUAGGAUGCUAUGGGUAAUUUAUCUGCUCUUUUGAAGGUUUGCUAUAUUUCCCCUAUGUAAUGUGUAAAUGAGACCUCCCUAAGCAAUGCUGUAUAAAUUCCCCAGAAGGGGUAACAUCCUUUUGGAGUCAAUAUUCUGUAACUCAUUACAUCCAUCUUACCUGUGGGGGGAAAAGACGUCCUACACUUGGGUCUCCAACUCCUUUAACUAGGGGCAUUUCUUGGCCAGGAGUAGAUUCCAAUCCCACUACUGUCGCUCCAGUCUCUACCCAUGCAUCAAUCUCAUAAUGAACAUAUUUACAAGUGUCCAUGUGGAAACAAGUAUUCAGAAAGGAGCAGUCACCGAGAGACUCAUCAGUAUGCAGAUUAAUGAUGCGCCUGUAAAAGAAUACAGUAUCAAAGCCACUUCUAUCCUGAGAAGCACCACAGUCUGGGUACAGUAUGUAAAUGAGGUGGUGACGUGUUCAGUCACAUUCUGCCACUUGUUUUGUAGACAUGAACAAAAAAGUAUUUUCACAUUUUUCCUCCUGUUUUCGCACAGCACCCACAGUUUACAACUGUACUUGUGUGUGGUAAUGUGAAAUCUAAAAGUAUCCCUGAUGGGGAUAUCAUUUCUGUAUUUUAAUCUCCCACAACUGUGCUGAAACCUAGAUAUUUUAGUAAAACUAAUGCUGAAAGUAAUCAGAUAAGUCAAAUAGACUUUUUUUCAUUUGCAAAGUUGAUGUACUAGGUGAAAACAAGCAACACAUGAUAGUAGUUUGAUUAAUGUUCAAAAUUACACAAGGUUCAGAGGGGGCGACUCAAAUGUUUUUUUCAGAGCCCGUAUAUGCAUAUCACUCGUUACUUUAGAUGGGGCAAUAUGCAAAUGUUUGUUUCACUGCCAGGCGCCCACUGUUUUUCACACUUGUCAUCUCAAGUAUUUAAAAAAAAAAAAAAAGGGUGAAAAGCCGGAAUUGUUGCACAUUUCAGUUAGUCUCCUCAGGAAGGGGUGAGCAGAAAUAAUGGGCGCCCGUGGUAUACGCACAUUAGAGCGACAUUUUAAUAGCUUCAUCGGGCACAGGGCACCCAAAGAACAACUGAAUUCCCCCCAAAUUGCUAAGUGUUACCUAAAGUGCAGCCUCCGACACGGAGUGUCCGCUCCUGCCCCUCUCAUGCAUUCUUCUUUAGUCCCAUAGUCACAAAACUCUUGGACCUGAGCCCUCCCACGGGAUCGGAAUUUCUCCACAAUGGACUGCUCCUUGGCUGUGCUGGUGUUUAGAAGCUCUAGGAUCUCUUGACUUACCUAAUGUACAGUAAUGCCAAGAAUAUUAAAAUCCAAGAGAAAAAAAAAAAGUAGUAAUAACCCAAUUAAAAAAAAAAAAAAAGAAGAAGGAAAAGACGAUACAGAGCUAAAAUGCUUAUUUCCUUCAUCUAAUCACGCAGGUGAAGUAUUUCAUGUCGAAGACCUAUGUUUUAGAAAAAUUAAACUAUAUCUAACCAGACCAUCCAUGUAAAUUUUGAAGAUAGUAUUUUAUUUAAGACUGCUACAUUGUGGCCCCAUUAAAGCUAUAAAAUCUUUUAAACAAAAUGUCAAAAUAUGCGUUAAAGAAAUAAAAAAUAAAAAUAAAUAAAUAUAUAUAUAUAUAUUU